GAUGAACGCUGGCGGCGUGCCUAAUACAUGCAAGUCGAGCGAACAGACGAGGAGCUUUCUCCUCUGACGUUAGCGGCGGACGGGUGAGUAACACGUGGACAACCUACCUAUAAGACUGGGAUAACUUCGGGAAACCGGAGCUAAUACCGGAUAAUAUAUUGAACCACAUGGUUCAAUAGUGAAAGACGGUUUUGCUGUCACUUAUAGAUGGAUCCGCGCCGCAUUAGCUAGUUGGUAAGGUAACGGCUUACCAAGGCAACGAUGCGUAGCCGACCUGAGAGGGUGAUCGGCCACACUGGAACUGAGACACGGUCCAGACUCCUACGGGAGGCAGCAGUAGGGAAUCUUCCGCAAUGGGCGAAAGCCUGACGGAGCAACGCCGCGUGAGUGAUGAAGGUCUUCGGAUCGUAAAACUCUGUUAUUAGGGAAGAACAAAUGUGUAAGUAACUAUGCACGUCUUGACGGUACCUAAUCAGAAAGCCACGGCUAACUACGUG
rnacentral:rRNA from 1 species